GUGGACUCCGAUGCGGACCCGCUUUGCGGAUUCACCGCGGAUCUUGACACCUCCGCCCUGAGCGGAUCUGGGGCGGACACUUUUUGCUAUCUGGGAGGCUAUGCCUGAAGCCAAUAGACCUCGAGGCCGGUAGCCGAAUUUGUUUUCCUAGGAUGGAAAAGGGCUUUUCCCAUUGAGUGUUUUUAAGGUAAAGGUUAGGUUUAGGUCUACGGGUAGUUUGGAUCAAUUUAAACUAGAGUUGUGCUCAAAUGUGGCCUUUCCCAUCCUAGGAAAAAAAAAAUCGCAGGCCGUAUACACCAUUGCCCAUCCUCCUUUAGGCUAUACUGUAGGUGUGAGUGCUUAAUUGCCAGCAGAGGGCAGAAACACUCCAUAGUCAACAUGUUGCAAAAACAUGUUACAAAACCAUAGACAUAUUAUUAAUGACAAACACGUUAACUUUGUUGUUAAAGUAAACGGAAGUGGAUAUAAGGAAGCCAGAAUAUUUACACAAGGGCGCAAAAAAAAAGGAGUAUGUUUCCGGUCAUAAUCUGAAGGAACAUCCGGCGCUUGCGCUGAUCGGUCCGAUCGCGGACUUGACAGACUGCUUGCCGCACGCUCACUUGUGUCGGGUUCAUUCAGAGGAGCAGUCCGCUGUCCCGGGGCGCUCUUCACGAUUAAACAACUGGGAGAAUUUUUAUUGUAGUUUAAGGACGAACUGCGACACGCGUGCAUGCAUUAAAACACACCUCGCGGACUCGAUGAUCAUUCAACUUUUGUCUUUUUUUGCGCAUUUUUGAGGAGGACAGUCUCGUGUUGUGGAUGCGAACUCACAACUAGCUCUGCGUGUUUUUGGAUGGGAACGUCUGCUGCUUCAUUCACACAAUCGGCAUGGACCCUUAGUGCAACAAGCCAAGCUAACAGGUGGUCCGGGUGUUCCAGGUCAAGCUGCUGCUGGCUAAGGAGGAGCGUUUGUUUUUGUUCCACCCGGUGCUGUGAUUUCAGCUGUUUAGAGACUAGGUGAGGCUCACACCUGAUGCUCCCUGUGAAUAAAUCAAACCUCCACUGCUCACAAAGACUGGCCCUAAUGCUCUGCUAACGGCUCUAAAAGGAGAAGAGACAGUUAAUCUGCUUUGCCUUUGUUUGACAUGUUCCCAUAGUAACUAAUCAACUUCAUCUAUUCAAAAUAAGUUAUCCUUUAGUUUCAUUUAUUUGUAGAGUGUCGGGCGGUCUGCCUUUGUUAGAUUCUUGUGGUCAUGUAGCCCUGCCUUGAACCUGCACAACUCUUUUCUUUGAGCGUCCAUACACUUCUGAAUAGCUGACCAUCUGUCUGCUUUAGGCUCUACAAGUAACAUAUCGCGUUACCCCACUUGUCUGUGCCGGACUGUGGGGGAUAAACUAUAAGGCAUAUUCGAGUGCGGAGUGUAAGGAAUCCACGCUAGCAAUGGUACAUAACAGAACAUCCCUGAUAAAUGCUGGACUUUGCCAACUGUUAGGCUGAUCAACUUUAUGCGGGCGAGGAGAGAAGCACAAGAGGUUCUUUUGGGGUGAAAAUGGGAAUUGAAGGCACAAAUGACAAUUGAUUUCUCAGGGGUUGUAUCAAUUUCUUGUUCCAAGCUGAAGCGUUCCCCGGUGUGGUCCUCUGCUGCUGGAGCCCAUCUGCUUCGAGGCGCCCUGUGCUUUCAGAAAUGAUCUAACACACAAGUUGGUAAUAACAACUGAUAUAUUAAGUUACUGUUGCCUUUUGUCAUCUCAGACUACAUUGGUCACUGGUCUCUUCUGGCGUCAACCAGACCAAAGUGGCACCCCACAGAUAUUUUUGCUUUUUAGACUGUUCUUGUCAACCCUAGAGAUGGUUGUGUGUUCAGAUAAUAGGCAAUCCCAAUUAUUAACAU
ensembl:lncRNA